rnacentral:rRNA from 1 species
GGGGGUGCUAGCUUGCUAGAACCUACACACAGGUGCUGCACGGCUGUCGUCAGCUCGUGUCGUGAGAUGUUGGGUUAAGUCCCGCAACGAGCGCAACCCUCGUCCUUAGUUGCUAACAGUUCGGCUGAGCACUCUAAGGAGACUGCCUUCGCAAGGAGGAGGAAGGUGAGGACGACGUCAAGUCAUCAUGGCCCUUACGGCCAGGGCUACACACGUGCUACAAUGGGGCGUACAAAGAGCUGCAAUACCGCGAGGUGGAGCCAAUCUCUUAAAGCGUCUCUCAGUUCGGAUUGUUCUCUGCAACUCGAGAACAUGAAGCUGGAAUCACUAGUAAUCGUAGAUCAGCUAUGCUACGGUGAAUACGUUCCCGGGUCUUGUACUCACCGCCCGUCACACCAUGGGAGUUGAUUUCACCCGAAAUCGGGAUGCCAAACUGGCUACCGCUUACGGUGGAAUUAGCGACUGGGGUGAAGUCGUAACAAGGUAACCGUAGGAGAACC